rnacentral:rRNA from 1 species
UACGCAGGGUGCGAGCGUUAAUCGGAAUUACUGGGCGUAAAGCGUGCGAAGGCGGUUUGUUAAGUCUGAUGUGAAAGCCCCGGGCUCAACCUGGGAACUGCAUUGGAAACUAACGGGCUCGAGUGUGGCAGAGGGGGGUGGAAUUCCACGUGUAGCAGUGAAAUGCGUAGAGAUGUGGAGGAACACCGAUGGCGAAGGCAGCCCCCUGGGCUAACACUGACGCUCAGGCACGAAAGCGUGGGGAGCAAACAGG